rnacentral:rRNA from 1 species
UACGUAGGUGGCAAGCGUUAUCCGGAAUUAUUGGGCGUAAAGAGCGCGCAGGUGGUUGAUUAAGUCUGAUGUGAAAGCCCACGGCUUAACCGUGGAGGGUCAUUGGAAACUGGUCGACUUGAGUACCAGAGGGGAAAGUGGAAUUCCCGGUGUAGAGGUGAAAUGCGUAGAUAUCGGGAGGAACACCAGUGGCGAAGGCGACUUCCUGGCACAAUACUGACGCUCAUGUGCGAAAGCUAGGGUAGCGAACGGGAUUAGAUACCCCGGUAGUCCCUGA